rnacentral:lncRNA from 1 species
GGGGAUAUGGGGGGUGUGUGGGGUGUGGGGGAUAUGGGGGAUAUGGGGGAUAUGGGGGGUGUGGGGGGAUGGGGGGGGAUGGGGCUGUGGGGACGUUGGGGUCAAUGGGAACAUGGGGGCACCAAUGGGGCCAUGGGGUAAUGGGGGCGAUGGGGACCUCGGGGUCAAUGGGAUCAAUGGGGGCAAUGGGCUGAAUGGACUGGAUGGUGUCAGUGGGGUCAAUGGGGUCAGUGGGAUCAAUGGGGCUGAAUGGGGCUGAAUGGGGUCAAUAGGGUCAAUGGAAUCAAUGGGGUCAAUGGGGCUGAAUGGGGUCAAUGGUGUCAAUGGUGUCAAUGGGGUCGGUGGGGUCAGUGGGGUCGGUGGGAUCAAUGUAGUCAAUGGGAUCAAUGGGGCUGAAUGGGGUCAAUAGGGUCAGUGGUGUCAAUGGGGUCAAUGGGGCUGAAUGGGGUCAAUGGGGCUGAAUGGUGUCAAUGGUGCCAAUGGUGUCAGUGGGGUCACUGGGGUCGGUGGGGUCGGUGGGGUCGGUGGGGUCAAUGCUGUGAAUGGCCGGGACUCACGGUCGGCCCGCAGCUCCCGGCAGCGCAGCGCGUUGUGCUGCAGCGCCACGCAGUGGUACCACAGGGAAACGCUCUGCCCGUCCGGCAGCAGCCACCACUCCUGGGGGCAGCGCGCUGAGGGCGGCCCCAUAGAGCGCCCCAUAGAGCGCCCCAUACACCGCCCCAUA